rnacentral:rRNA from 1 species
AUUGAACGCUGGCGGCAGGCCUAACACAUGCAAGUCGAGCGGAUGAAGGGAGCUUGCUCCUGGAUUCAGCGGCGGACGGGUGAGUAAUGCCUAGGAAUCUGCCUGGUAGUGGGGGAUAACGUCCGGAAACGGGCGCUAAUACCGCAUACGUCCUGAGGGAGAAAGGGGGGGAUCUUCGGACCUCACGCUAUCAGAUGAGCCUAGGUCGGAUUAGCUAGUUGGUGGGGUAAAGGCCUACCAAGGCGACGAUCCGUAACUGGUCUGCGAGGAUGAUCAGUCACACUGGAACUGAGACACGGUCCAGACUCCUACGGGAGGCAGCAGUGGGGAAUAUUGGACAAUGGGCGAAAGCCUGAUCCAGCCAUGCCGCGUGUGUGAAGAAGGUCUUCGGAUUGUAAAGCACUUUUAGUUGGGAGGAAGGGCAGUAAGUUAAUACCUUGCUGUUUUGACGUUACCAACAGAAUAAGCACCGGCUAACUUCGUG